rnacentral:rRNA from 1 species
GAGAUUAGACCCUCUUCGGAGCGUGUAUACAGGUGGUGCAUGGUUGUCGUCAGCUCGUGUCGUGAGAUGUUGGGUUAAGUCCCGCAACGAGCGCAACCCCUGUUCUUAGUUGCCAGCACGUAAAGGUGGGAACUCUAGGAAGACUGCCGGUGAUAAAUCGGAGGAAGGUGGGGACGACGUCAAAUCAUCACAGCAGUCGAAGGUAGAAUCAAUGAUUGGGGUGAAGUCGUAACAAGGUACC